rnacentral:rRNA from 1 species
UCCCUAUGGGGUGCAGCAGGCGCGAAACCUCCACAAUGCGCGAAAGCGUGAUGGGGUUAGCCCGAGUGCUGUCCGAAAAGGAUGGCUUUUCCUUGGUGUAAAAACCCAGGGGAAUAAAGGGGGGGCAAGACUGGUGUCAGCCGCCGCGGUAAUACCAGCUCCCUGAGUGGUAAGGACGAUUAUUUGGCUUAAAGCGUCCGUAGCCGGCUUAGUGAGUCUUUUGUUAAAUCCAAUGACUUAAUCAUUGAAAUGCAAGAGAUACUGCUAUGCUAGAGGACGGGAGAGGUCGACGGUAGUCCAGGGGUAGGGGUGAAAUCCUAUAAUCCCGGGAGGACCACCAGUGGCGAAGGCUGUCGGCUAGAACGCGCCCGACGGUGAGGGAUGAAAGCUGGGGGAGCGAACCGGAUUAGAUACCCGGGUAGUCCCAGCCGUAAACGAUGCAGGCUAGGUGUUUGGGCGGCCACGAGCCGCCCUAGUGCCGCAGGGAAGCUGUUAAGCCUGCCGCCUGGGGAGUACGGCCGCAAGGCUGAAACUUAAAGGAAUUGGCGGGGGAGCACCACAAGGGGUGAAGCUUGCGGUUUAAUUGGAUUCAACGCCGGAA